ensembl:lncRNA PACRG-AS3 PACRG antisense RNA 3
GCCAUAAAGGUGUGGGGGUCAGAGAAAGGGAAGAUCAGAGGACACUGGAACUUGACACUGAGCUGAGGAAUGAGACUGGGUGGGAUCAUUCAUAGAAAUUUCAUCUGAAGCCUGGGAAGGAAUUGUUUCAGGAACACAGUCAUCCCUCAGAAAUGGAUUGGGUGACAAGUGGUCUGCAUGCUGCACACGGGCACUGGGCGCAGAUCAGCGGACAGGCGCGUAACAGGAGGUGCUAAGUGCGCAGGUGGGGUCACGUGCCGCGUCACAGCAGUGCUGGAGGAGAGUCCUGACUCAUGGCCUGGGAUGCUGGGGUUCCUCCCCAGAGAAGCUCUUUUGGACCUGGGAGAAGGAGUAGGACUUUGAUACACCAUGGAGGUCUCUGAAUGUAACCAAAUUGUUCUCCUCUUAUCAUUCCCAUUCACUGGUGUACUUGUUUGUGGAGCCUGCAGAACUGCCUUUUUCAAGAAUGCUUAAGGCUAAUUUAAAAGGAUGGUGAGGAGAUUCUAUUUUCAACUGGCUGAAGUUCAAUAAGAAUAAAAUAAAACACUGUUGUAGCAAACUCUUUCACAGUGGAAGUUUGGCAAAGCUAAAUCUCAUUCCUUUCGAUGUGCUCCAGUACAGCCAAAAUACUGUUCCAGUGAGUAAGACACCCAUUAGAGUGAUGAGCUUCCUACAGAACAAGAAUCUCUCCAUAUUUUAUUUUAAACCAAACCAGUGUUGCAUUGCUUUGUAUUAAGAAUCCAAAAGGAAAUAUUGUGUAAUACAAUCAGUAAAAAACCUACAGUUUCGUUACAGUUAUAUUUUUAUCAUUGGCCUGCGUUUUCCUAAUUUCAGAAGUAUACGUGAUCAUUUUAGAUACAGGAAAUGACUUCUUUUAAUUUUUCUUGUAGUGAAAGUUUUACAAUUCUUUAGUCAAGCCUACUGAUUAGCUUAAAAACCCUAAUAAAAGGAGUGACCACACAUACAUCUCUGUAGGUAUAAAUCAAGGUUGGGAAAUUUUAAAGGUGCAUUUCUUUUUCUUCCUUUUUUUUUUCUUUAACCCUAUGUCUUCUAGGCAGCUUGGCCUCUAAAUCUGCUUCCCACUGAUGGGAAGAGCUGACAGAAGCUUUAGAGAGGCACAGGGUGAGUUCCUAAAACCAGAGUCAACACACACUCUUCAUCUGUUUUGUGCUUCACUCCCUGCUCAUCUUCCUAAAACACUGAGUUUGGUCAUAUCAUGUCCUACAAGUUGUCAAUGAUUUCCCAUGAUCUUGUCUUCAGGAUAAAGUUCCUUAGUCAAAAGCAAUGAAGACCUGACCUAAUCUGUAAGGCAAAAUCAACACUUUUUAGCCUGGCCUUCCAUGCCCUUCCAUGCCCUUCGAGCCCCCAGAGCACCCAUGGCAGUCCAUCUCUCUCUACUUGUCCAGAGGGACACUCUCUUAGAGCCAGUGGCUCCUACUCACGGUUCCCCGAACACGUCGUGGGAAUGUUUGCCUUCAUACCUUCCCAGAUCAUUUUCCUGAUCUCAGACACCCUCCGUCCUCAUUCAUUCACUCUUCAAUUGUCCAACAAAUAUUUGUUGCUCAUGCAACCUGGAUCACCCACAUAGUUUCAAGACUGCAUCUUCUAAACUAUUUAAAUCCUAUCCAUUCUUCAAGAAAUGUUUCAUGACGCUUCCUUAACUGCUAAGGACCCGCAGAUUCUCUUCCUCUUGGGACUCACACACUGACUCAUCUCCCGAUCUUUUGGUGCUCAGCAAAGUGGAGGCUUCUGUUUUGGACUUAGAGUCAAGACCAUUAAAUAAGACUAUGCUCUAAAAAGUACACCUCCGUGGCCCGGAACGAGUGAAUUAACAUCUAUGAGUUUCCAUUUCCUUGUCUAUAAAAUUGUGAAAUUGCAACUUAAGAUUAGUUCUGAAGAUUAAAUGAGGUAACAUAGGUGAAAAUGCUACAUUUAUGUAAGAAAUUACUCUUUCAUAAGGAUGUCAAUGUUUAAAUACGCAUUUUCUCAAUUUUGUUAAUGAAAUACUUUGAAAUUCUUUUUUCUAAUGAAACCUGCUGAAUGUAAAAGAGACCCGUACUAAAGAAAGAUACCACAUGAAGCACCAAGGGUCUCUUUCUGGAUCUAUCAUGACUCUUGUGACUGUUUCAGCAGCACAGAAAUUAAAGGCGAUUGUUAUUCUGGAGGAAGACAAUGAGUCUCAUCUAUAUCUUGUUUGGGUUGAUUUUGUAAACAGAACAUUCCAAAGAUCAUUCUUGCCUUUUGUUUCCACUGAGAACUAGAAUAAAGUAAAACAAACUAUCAAUUUAAGGAAAGCCUCGAAAUUGUUAGCAAUUUCUUCAGUAACUUUCAUCCAUCAACUGAUUUUAUGAACACAAAUUUGCAGAAAUGGGCAAGAAAAACUACUUAACUCAUUGGUGGGAAGCAGUGGGCUCUCUAAGGAGGGAGAGAUAGCAGUGAUUUCACCACCGGACCGUGGAACACAAAGAGCCUGGAAGAGUCUAUCACUUUCAACUGAAACCGCAAGAAGAACUAAGUAGGUUAAGCCCUAAGAAUGUUCCUAGGUAACCUACUUGAGUUGAAAUUUGACUAAGAAUCCUUACACCCUACCUAAGAGAGGUAACGCUAUUAGGAUCGGAAGUGAUUGGAAGCUUUGUUUCAGAUCUCGUCCAAAAGGGAGAACGGUCAAUGACAAAGCUGCUGUGAAUAGUAUUCUGGGGGCGUGGUGGAACCCCGAUUCACUGCUAUCUCCCGAAUCAGCAACUUGACAGAGCGCGCCUCCCGGGCCUUGGAAGCCUUCCAUUCCGAGCUGGCUGGGUGGGACUCAGGUUUUACGGUAUGCUGGACUUUUUCCCCGUGAGUUAAAACACAUUUAUAGUAACUAAGUGGUUAAUGAUGAGAAAAAACCCCAAACUACUGUACUAAUAAUCAACCUC